UUCGUGUGGAAGCGACAAAAAGAAUGGAAGCACUCUAUCUCUUGUGCUCAAUCCUCUCCACAUUUUUUACUUCUCUAGCUCUUUCCCUCCUCCUUUCCGCCCGCACGCUAUUCCACCGCUUCUAUUCGCCGCGCGCGUCUUCUUCAUCCUCCACUGCCGCCUCAGAUGCAGUUUUUCUCUACGAAGGCACCGUGUGGCACGAGCGCCGGUGCCCUGUCCGCCACUCUUUCAAGUAUCCCGUGCGCUACGCGCUCUUCGACCUUGACCAUGCCUUCCGCGCGCCGUCUGACCAUCUCUCCGCUGGAGAAGCUCGCCGAGUCGCUGAGACUAAUGGACCAGUUUUACUUUUAACAAUACCCCGUAGUGUGGGAUAUGAACAAAAUCCUUUGAGUUUGUACUACUGCUAUGAAGUGGAAGGCUCUACUCAGUGUUUGAAGAAAUGCAUUGCUGAGGUAACUAAUACACCAUGGGGCGAAAGAGUAUCGUUUGUUUUUAAUCCCAAGUCUGAUUUGGUGGCUAAACCAUUACAUGUCAGUCCUUUCAUGGAUAUGCUUGGGAAUUGGAACAUCAGGGCUAAUUCUCCUGGAGAGAAUUUAAAUGUAUCAAUUUCAGUUCAGCAUCCUCAGCUUGGUGACUAUUUUGUAGCUACCUUGCGAGCAAAAAGGGUCUCCUCAGUAACAGUGUCUGAUCAUGCCAUGUUCUUCUGGUUAAUGCCUCAUAAGGUUGCACUGUGGAUAUAUUGGCAUGCGUUUAAGCUAUGGUGGAAAAAUGUGUCAUUUAUCCAACAUCCCAGGUAUACUAAUCCAGAGUAUAGGAAAGAAGCUUUGAUACGUGAUCAGAAACUUCAAUGCUGUCCAGCUGUUAGAGGCAAUAAUGAUAAUUAUUUGCAAGUUGAAGGAAGUGAUCUCAGAUAUCAGGCUAACUGGAAUAUUAGGGAUCGUUGGUUUGUAUGGAGAGAUGCUAAAUGGCCUUGGUCUUGAAUAUUAUAGGCUUUCUCCUGUUAGCGUAAGCUCAUAAAUGAGUAGGAUUAACUAGAAGGAAGAAGCAUUGAGAGCCUAACUUAUGACUAGACCUUGCCUGUGGAUCUGCAUUAGUAUUUUUUCAAUCUGCAGGAUGCAGUGGGGCUGUGAAAUGUAGCUAUCUAUACCUUAUUUGUUCAGACUGAGUAAAAUGUGAUGGGUAAUACUGACUUGCUGAAUUUAGGUAAAGACAUCAGAAAAAGGUUGACCUUGCCUUGAUCUAAGGCUGUCACAUGGGGUAACGUUACCCCCUCACAUCAUGGAAGAUUCCUACUGCUAUUUAAAGAGAGCAUGCUCUUGGUGAAGUUUCCCAUCAUAUGCCAAUGAAUCUUGUUUUCUCAAUUCCUGGACCUUCUGCACAUAUCUCUUAAACUUUUGUUUUAACAUUUAUCAAAGGUGUUAAACUGUAACUAAAUAGUAGUAAACUUCACUAAUUAUCAACCUUGCAUA